GACGAACGCUGGCGGCGUGCUUAACACAUGCAAGUCGAACGGAAAGGCCCUGCUUUUGUGGGGUGCUCGAGUGGCGAACGGGUGAGUAACACGUGAGUAACCUGCCCUUGACUUUGGGAUAACUUCAGGAAACUGGGGCUAAUACCGGAUAGGAGCUCCUGCUGCAUGGUGGGGGUUGGAAAGUUUCGGCGGGUGGGGAUGGACUCGCGGCUUAUCAGCUUGUUGGUGGGGUAGUGGCUUACCAAGGCUGUGACGGGUAGCCGGCCUGAGAGCGUGACCGGCCACAUUGGGACUGCGAUACGGACCAGACUCCUACGGGAGGCAGAAGUGGGGAACAUUGCCCAGUGGGCGGAAGCCUGAUGCAGCAACGCCGCGGGCGUGAUGCCGGCCUUCGGGUUGUGAACCGCUUUCGCCUGUGACGAAGCGUGAGUGACGGUAAUGGGUAAAGAAGCACCGGCUAACUACGUG
rnacentral:rRNA from 1 species